ACGAACGCUGGCGGCGUGCCUAAUACAUGCAAGUAGAACGCUGAAGGAGGAGCUUGCUUCUCCGGAUGAGUUGCGAACGGGUGAGUAACGCGUAGGUAACCUGCCUGGUAGCGGGGGAUAACUAUUAGAAACGAUAGCUAAUACCGCAUAAGAGUAGAUGUCGCAUGACAUUUGCUUAAAAGGUGCAACUGCACCACUACCAGAUGGACCUGCGUUGUAUUAGCUAGUUGGUGAGGUAACGGCUCACCAAGGCAACGAUACAUAGCCGACCUGAGAGGGUGAUCGGCCACACUGGGACUGAGACACGGCCCAGACUCCUACGGGAGGCAGCAGUAGGGAAUCUUCGGCAAUGGACGGAAGUCUGACCGAGCAACGCCGCGUGAGUGAAGAAGGUUUUCGGAUCGUAAAGCUCUGUUGUAAGAGAAGAACGAGUGUGAGAGUGGAAAGUUCACACUGUGACGGUAUCUUACCAGAAAGGGACGGCUAACUACGUG
rnacentral:rRNA from 1 species